rnacentral:rRNA from 1 species
AUGUUUGCCCAAUCCAUCCGCAAGAACAGAAAUGUCAAGGAAGCUUUGACAGCAGACCGAUGGAUCCUCGACCUCCGCAACAGCGGCGACUACAGCACCAUCGUCCACCAAGUCGUACAGCUGGCGAGAGAGAUCAGAGGGGCUCAUAUCAACCUGGAGCCCCAGAACCCGGACACAAUCAAAUGGAAGCUAUGCAGCUCGGGAAACUACUCGGCAAGGUCGGCGUAUCUCGCACAAUUCGACAGCAAUCAGCCAUGCAGCUUCAAAAGCAUCAUUUGGAAGAUCUGGGCCCCAGGGAAAGUGAAAAUGUUCCUUUGGCUACUGCACCUAGACAGACUCUGGUGCAACGACCGUCUUCAGAGGAGAGGAUGGCCGAAUGGCUACUUCUGCUCCUUGUGCCUGCUGAGCCUGGAGACAUCGCGGCAUCUGGUCUGGGAGUGCCCCGUGGCACCACAGGUAUGGAACACCGUGGCUUCAUGGACGGGGUGCAGCUCUUUGCACCAGCGGGUGUGGAACAGUGAUUCGACGACAACGGCCAGAGUGCAGAAGAUUGUGGCUGUCGCUGCACCAGAGCACAGGAAGGGCACGAAAACCAUGAUUGCCAUCGUCUCAUGGCACAUCUGGUUAGAAAGGAAUGCCUGUGUUUUCAGGGGCAAACAGGCAAACGCGCGACACAUCAUCAAAGCAUGCCAGAGCGACAUGGAGCAAUGGCGACUCGCCGGUGCAAGAUGCAUUCAGCAGCCCUUUGGGGAAGUGACGUGA